AUUGAACGCUGGCGGCGUGCCUAACACAUGCAAGUCGAGCGGCAGCGCGGGAGCAAUCCUGGCGGCGAGCGGCGGACGGGUGAGUAAUGCUUGGGAAUCUGCCUGUUAGUGGGGGACAACCCGGGGAAACUCGGGCUAAUACCGCAUACGCACUACGGUGGAAAGCCGGGGACCGCAAGGCCUGGCGCUAACAGAUGAGCCCAAGUCGGAUUAGCUAGUUGGUAGGGUAACGGCCUACCAAGGCGACGAUCCGUAACUGGUCUGAGAGGACGACCAGUCACACCGGAACUGAGACACGGUCCGGACUCCUACGGGAGGCAGCAGUGGGGAAUAUUGGACAAUGGGGGAAACCCUGAUCCAGCGACGCCGCGUGGGUGAAGAAGGCCUGCGGGUUGUAAAGCCCUUUCAGUGGGGAAGAAAAGCCUCGACCUAACACGUCGGGGUCUUGACGUAACCCAUAGAAGAAGCACCGGCUAACUCUGUGCCAGCAGCCGCCGUAAG
rnacentral:rRNA from 1 species